UAUAUCGAUGCAUAAAUAGAUAAAGACACUGCAAUGAUUUUUCGGUCAAGUGAAUAACUUAAACAACCCCUAAAAUUGUGUAUAUAUGUAUAUGUACAUAAGGGUGACACAUAUACAUAUGUAAAUAGUUACACAUGCAAACAUAUGCACUUUGUGUCACUCAUAUACAUACAUUCGCAUACAUUUGUAUAUAACAAUUCGGCCUGUGGAAAAUGCUGCACUUUUCACUACACUUGUAAAUAAGUGUCAUGGGCAGGAACUGAAUUCCUUGGGAAAGCAGCUUUGGAGAAAGGGAGCGAAAGCUCUAAAAUAGCUUUUAAACGCAGGGGUGCU